rnacentral:rRNA from 1 species
CCUACGGGGGGCUGCAGUGGGGAAUAUUGGACAAUGGACGAAAGUCUGAUCCAGCGACGCCGCGUGGAGGAAGAAGUCCUUCGGGAUGUAAACUCAUGAAGCUAACGAAUAAGACGGAAGGGGAACCUUCCGGGAGAAGGUAAUUAGUGAAAAGCCCCGGCUAACUACGUGCCAGCAGCCGCGGUAAUACGUAGGGGGCGAGCGUUGCCCGGAAUUACUGGGCGUAAAGGGAACGUAGGUGGCUCUUAAAGUCAGGUGUGAAAAUAACGAAGCUUAACAGGUUAAUGCGCUUGAAACUAAAGGGCUUGAGGGCAAUAGAGGGAGAUGGAAUUACCUGUGUAGGGGUGAAAUCCGCAGAUAUAGGUAAGAAGGCCGGUGGGGAAGCCGAUCUCCUGGGUUGACUCUGACACUGAGGUUCGAAAGCUAGGGGAGCAAACCGGCUUAGAUACCCCAGUAGUC